CCUACGGGGGGCAGCAGUGAGGAAUAUUGGUCAAUGGGCGGGAGCCUGAACCAGCCAAGUCGCGUGAAGGAUGACUGCCCUACGGGUUGUAAACUUCUUUUAUAAAGGAAUAAAGUGAGGCACGUGUGCCUUUUUGUAUGUACUUUAUGAAUAAGGAUCGGCUAACUCCGUGCCAGCAGCCGCGGUAAUACGGAGGAUCCGAGCGUUAUCCGGAUUUAUUGGGUUUAAAGGGAGCGUAGAUGGGGUGUUAAGUCAGUUGUGAAAGUUUACGGCUCAACCGUAAAAUUGCAAUUGAUACUGGCUGUCUUGAGUACAGUUGAGGUAGGCGGAAUUCGUGGUGUAGCGGUGAAAUGCUUAGAUAUCACGAAGAACUCCGAUUGCGAAGGCAGCUUACUAAACUGCCACUGACAUUGAUGCUCGAAAGUGUGGGUAUCAAACAGGAUUAGAUACCCGAGUAGUC
rnacentral:rRNA from 1 species